AUUGAACGCUGGCGGCAGGCCUAACACAUGCAAGUCGAACGAGUGGCGGACGGGUGAGUAAUGGCUGGGAAACUGCCUGAUGGAGGGGGAUAACUACUGGAAACGGGAGCUAAUACCGCAUACCAUCAGAUGUGCCCAGAUGGGAUUAGCUUGUUGGUGGGGUAACGGCUCACCAAGGCGAAGAUCCCUAGCUGGGCGAAGAGGAUGAACAGCCCCGCUGCAGCUAAGCCGCCGUCCAGCCUCCUGCGGGAAGCAGCAGUGGGGAAUAUUGCACAAGGGGCGCAAGCCUGAUGCAGCGAUGCCGCGUGUAUGAAGACGUCCGUCGUGUAGAAAAGUACUUUCAGCGACGAGACGUUACCCGCAGAGAAAGCACCGGCUAACUCCGUGCCAGCAGCCGCGGUAAUUC
rnacentral:rRNA from 1 species